rnacentral:lncRNA from 1 species
UUUUGUUUCCCAACAUAUUUUAGCAUUAAAACAUGAUGGCGGUAAUUUUGAAUUAUGUCUUUAAAAUUGUGUAAUGGUAUCAGGUUUUUUAGGGAGUUUUCUUUUGAAAAAAAUAGGUUGGAUAAGUUUUUGACAAAAGAUUUAAGAAAUAAUUUUAUAUCAUUAGGUUAUGUUGUUGGUGGAGAGAAAAAAUGGCCGUGAUCAUUGUGAAACAUGCCUUCCAACUUCUUUUUUAUUUUAAUAAAAUAUUCCAUCAUAUUUUUUAUAAUCCUGAUGGUAAUUUGAUGUGAAAUAGUUUUUCCUUCAACUUUCACCGAAAUAUUUGUAAUAUUUGUAAAAAUAUACAUCAAUCUAAACAAAACUUGAGUUGCGUCUGCUAUUCUGAACUGGUAGGAGUUUUAGAUUUUGUCCUUUUUAUAUUCAAGGCUGAAACAGAAGGUUUAAACACAGAUUGAAUUUUUCAAUUUUAUUACACUUGGUCAACAGUCAAUGUAUGCAUAUUUAACAACCUAAUUAUUUUAAUAAAAUGGCCAGUUUGAAAUUAUUAUUUAUAAAGUGAUGCCAAUAUACUGACUCAUAGAUGAUUGUAAUCCAAACAAUAAACAGAAAAAAAUGUUCAUUUAAUUAUAGACUUGCACAGAAGAUUAUCCACUAUUUGUAGUGAUCAUUUCAUCAUUAUUGCUAUGCACUGUAAAUUCAGAAAUUAUUUUGACAUUUUGAUUCAUGCCAAAAAAUGUAAUAUGAAAGUCCUGUUACUGUAAUAAAAUUUACAUAAAUAAUGUUGGAAGUGCAGUGCCUGAAAAAAAAAACACACUUACUUAACAUUAUUUUUAUUAUGUAUCAGAAUAAACUAUGAAAAUAUGUACAACAUUUGUAGCGGCUAACAGAACAAAAUUGACAUUUGAAAUAUCUAGAUUUUGCUAGAAAAAAAUCAAUAGAGAGCACAUUUGUUUGUUCAGGCACUGAUGAAGAAACCAAAUUACAUCUAUGUUGUAAUUUUCAAUAACCAGAUUCACACUUUGUAAUAUUUUUUUGUAAUUUGAAAACAUAAAUGUAUUUUACAUAUUUCUGAAUUUAUAGUUAAUAUUUAAAUUAACAUGUGCUUUUGUAUAAUUUGUGCAGCUAACAUCAAUGUGUCUUGCCAUAAACAGUUGUACAUACAUCGCCUGUGUUUUUGUACAUUUGUAUAUUUUUCUUACACCAAGUCAUUAAGGUGCUAGCUUUUGAACGUAUUCACUUAUAAAUGAAGUAGCUAUGGACAAAAUACACAGUAGUUCUUCCAUUCAUUUAAGUGACCAUUUUUCUUUACAAAUGUGAAAAUGAAUGUUAAAAAAGGAAAUAUAUAACUGAAAUAACAUCAUUAUAUUUCUAAUUUGAAAAAUUAUGCAUGGUAUUUUUUUUUUUAUCAUAAAUACCACAGUCAUUUAUUUUGUUGUUAAGGUGUAGGCGCUUUCAUAAUAUCAAUGAAUUAUGUGUCAUGUAGAAACAUAGAAGUAUGCAUGUUGUAUUAUUUUCCAAAAUGGCAAGGAUCUUGUUUUGGGAACAAAGUAAAAAUAAUUUGGCAGAAUUAAAAUCAUGCACAUAAAAUGACUGAAAAAUGUGUUGAACAUACACAAAGGCAAACUUGGGAUUCAUUACAUUUCAAAGAUACUGAAAACAAGGAAUUGUUUGACUCUGGAAUAAUUUUGAAUUCUGGAAAUUUAUAAUGAAAGCUAAGCAAAUACAUUUCCAAUCAAUUUUCCAGAAUUCAAAAUUAUUCCAGAUUCAAAUAAUUCCUUGUUUGAAAAAAAUUCUCUAAUACAGGUAGAUAUUGUUUCCC